rnacentral:rRNA from 1 species
UACAGAGGUCUCAAGCGUUGUUCGGAUUCAUUGGGCUUAAAGCGUGUGUAGGUGGAUGUCUAAGUACCUUGUGAAAUCCCACGGCUUAACCGUGGAACUGCUCGGUAUACUGGAUGUCUUGAGCCAGCUAGGGGCUACCGGAACAAAUGGUGGAGCGGUGAAAUGCGUAGAUAUCAUUUGGAACGCCAAUGGUGAAAACAGGUAGCUGGGGCUGUGCUGACACUGAGACACGAAAGCCAGGGGAGCGAACGGG